UACGGAGGGUGCGAGCGUUAUUCGGAAUUACUGGGCGUAAAGCGUGCGCAGGCGGUUUGUUAAGCGAGAUGUGAAAGCCCCGGGCUCAACCUGGGAACCGCAUUUCGAACUGGCAAACUAGAGUCUUGUAGAGGGGGGUAGAAUUCCAGGUGUAGCGGUGAAAUGCGUAGAGAUCUGGAGGAAUACCGGUGGCGAAGGCGGCCCCCUGGACAAAGACUGACGCUCAGGCACGAAAGCGUGGGGAGCAAACAGG
rnacentral:rRNA from 1 species